rnacentral:rRNA from 1 species
AGAAUCAACGCUGGCGGCGUGCCUAACACAUGCAAGUCGAACGCGAAAGCCCCGCAAGGGGCAAGUAGAGUGGCAAACGGGUGAGUAACACGUGGGUGACCUGCCUUCGAGCGGGGGAUAACGUCCCGAAAGGACGCUAAUACCGCAUAACAUCCUGCCUUUGAAGAGGCGGAGAUCAAAGCGUGGGGAUCGACAACGGACCCGGCACGUUGGAAGGACGGGGCCCGCGCCUGAUUAGCGUUAGGUUGGGUGGGGUAAUCGGCCUAACCGAAGGCAACGAUCAGGUACUCCGGCUGGAGGACGGGCCGACGGACACGACGUGGGACUGGACGACGACCGGCCCAGGUACCUCCGGACGGGAGCAGG